rnacentral:rRNA from 1 species
UGAGACACGGGCCAGACUCCUACGGGAGGCAGCAGUGAGGAAUAUUGCACAAUGGGCGCAAGCCUGAUGCAGCAACGCCGCGUGAGGGACGAAGGCCUUCGGGUCGUAAACCUCUUUUCUGGGGGACGAGUAAGGACGGUACCUCAGGAAUAAGUCUCGGCUAACUACGUGCCAGCAGCCGCGGUAAAACGUAGGAGGCGAGCGUUAUCCGGAUUUACUGGGCGUAAAGCGUACGCAGGUGGCUUCGUGAGUCGGACAUGAAAGCUCCCGGCUUAACUGGGAGAGGUUGUUCGAUACUGCGAGGCUUGAGGUUGGGAGAGGGACGUGGAAUUCCCGGUGUAGUGGUGAAAUGCGUAGAUAUCGGGAGGAACACCAGUGGCGCAAGCGGCGUCCUGGCCCACACCUGACGCUGAGGUACGAAAGCGUGGGUAGCAAACAGGAUUAGAUACCCUGGUAGUCCACGCUGUAAACGAUGUCAACUGGGUGUCGGUAGUUUUACACUAUCGGUGCCGAAGCCAACGCG